CCGCCUGGGGAGUACGGCCGCAAGGUUAAAACUCAAAUGAAUUGACGGGGGCCCGCACAAGCGGUGGAGCAUGUGGUUUAAUUCGAUGCAACGCGAAGAACCUUACCUGGUCUUGACAUCCACAGAAGAAUCCAGAGAUGGAUUUGUGCCUUCGGGAACUGUGAGACAGGUGCUGCAUGGCUGUCGUCAGCUCGUGUUGUGAAAUGUUGGGUUAAGUCCCGCAACGAGCGCAACCCUUAUCCUUUGUUGCCAGCGGUUAGGUCGGGAACUCAAAGGAGACUGCCAGUGAUAAACUGGAGGAAGGUGGGGAUGACGUCAAGUCAUCAUGGCCCUUACGACCAGGGCUACACACGUGCUACAAUGGCGCAUACAAAGAGAAGCGACCUCGCGAGAGCAAGCGGACCUCAUAAAGUGCGUCGUAGUCCGGAUUGGAGUCUGCAACUCGACUCCAUGAAGUCGGAAUCGCUAGUAAUCGUGGAUCAGAAUGCCACGGUGAAUACGUUCCCGGGCCUUGUACACACCGCCCGUCACACCAUGGGAGUGGGUUGCAAAAGAAGUAGGUAGCUUAACCUUCGGGAGGGCGCUUACCACUUUGUGAUUCAUGACUGGGGUGAAGUCGUAACAAGGUAACCGUAGGGGAACCUGCGGUUGGAUCACCUCCUUACCUUAAAGAAGC
rnacentral:rRNA from 1 species